rnacentral:rRNA from 1 species
AACGUAGGGGACAAGCGUUAUCCGGAUUUACUGGGCGUAAAGAGCCCGUGGGCAGCUAUGCAAGUUGGACGUGAAAGCUCCUGGCUUAACUGGGAGAGGCCGUACAAAACUGCAAAGCUAGAGGUUGGAAGAGGAGAGCGGAAUUCCCGGUGUAGUGGUGGAAUGCGUAGAUAUUGGGAGGAACACCAGUGGCGAAAGCGGCUCGCUGGUCCAUACCUGACGCUGAGGGGCGAAAGCGUGGGGAGCGAACGGG